rnacentral:lncRNA from 1 species
CUUUUUUUAUUGUGUAUUUUAUAUUUUUUAUUCACUAUAUCAUNAUGAUGUUUUACGAGAGAUUUUAAAAGAAAAGAGAGAAGAGAUUAUACGUAAACAUGAUAAAGAUUUUUAUUUGUUAUUUAAUUGUUGAGAAAAAAUUCAUUUCAUAAAAAAAUUAAAAUUAAAAUUACAUAAAAUAUAAACCAUGUCAAAAAUAAAAGAAAAGAAAAUAAAACAAAAUAUCCCGGACAAAGAGUGGUAGCGUACAAUAAAAAAAAUAAAAAUAAAAUAAAAAUGAAAUUUAUAAUUAGUGGUGAAGUACCACGUAAUUAUUAUACAUAAAGAAAC